GAAAGAAGAUAGACAGAAGCAGCUUAUGCUUGCUUGCGACAACACAAGUCUGUUUCUGAGAAGACCUAAAAAUGCUGUGCCGUGAAGGAUCAUUAUCAAGACUUCCAGCAGAUAGUUCAAGGAGGAGUGCUCACGAACUCAGACCACCAAAACUGUGAACAUGAUAG